rnacentral:rRNA from 1 species
UACGAAGGGGGCUAGCGUUGCUCGGAAUCACUGGGCGUAAAGGGUGCGUAGGCGGGAUCUUAAGUCAGAGGUGAAAGCCUGGAGCUCAACUCCAGAACUGCCUUUGAUACUGGGAUUCUUGAGUUCGGGAGAGGUGAGCGGAACUGCGAGUGUAGAGGUGAAAUUCGUAGAUAUUCGCAAGAACACCAGUGGCGAAGGCGGCUCACUGGCCCGAUACUGACGCUGAGGCACGAAAGCGUGGGUAGCAAACAGGGAUUAAGAAACCCUGGUAAC